rnacentral:rRNA from 1 species
ACACAUGCAAGUCGAGCGCUACCUUCGGGUGGAGCGGCGGACGGGUUAGUAACGCGUGGGAAUAUACCCAAAGGUAGGGAAUAGCCACUGGAAACGGUGAGUAAUACCCUAUGUGCCCUUCGGGGGAAAGAUUUAUCGCCUUUGGAUUAGCCCGCGUUAGAUUAGAUAGUUGGUGGGGUAAUGGCCUACCAAGUCUACGAUCUAUAGCUGGUUUUAGAGGAUGAUCAGCAACACUGGGACUGAGACACGGCCCAGACUCCUACGGGAGGCAGCAGUGGGGAAUCUUGGACAAUGGGCGCAAGCCUGAUCCAGCCAUGCCGCGUGAGUGAUGAAGGCCUUAGGGUCGUAAAGCUCUUUCGCCAGGGAUGAUAAUGACAGUACCUGGUAAAGAAACCCCGGCUAACUCCGUGCCAGCAGCCGCGGUAAUACGGAGGGGGUUAGCGUUGUUCGGAAUUACUGGGCGUAAAGCGCGCGUAGGCGGAUCAGAAAGUAAGGGGUGAAAUCCCAGGGCUCAACCCUGGAACUGCCUCUUAAACUCCUGGUCUUGAGUUCGAGAGAGGUGAGUGGAAUUCCGAGUGUAGAGGUGAAAUUCGUAGAUAUUCGGAGGAACACCAGUGGCGAAGGCGGCUCACUGGCUCGAUACUGACGCUGAGGUGCGAAAGUGUGGGGAGCAAACAGGAUUAAAUACCCUGGGGGAG